rnacentral:rRNA from 1 species
AGGUCGUUCCGCAGAGAUACUGCUCCACUCCAAGUCCAUUCAUGAGUACGGGUGUACAGACUUGGCCCAUAGAGGGUGAAAGGCCCGUGGGGGUGGUGUUCAGGCAUGUCAGUGUCUCUCUGGAUAGACCUUGGAGUCGGGUUGUUUGUGAAUGCAGCCCAAAGUGGGUGGUAAACUCCAUCCAAGGCUAAAUACAUACACGAGUCCGAUAGCGAACAAGUACCGUGAGGGAAAGUUGAAAAGUACUUUGAAGAGAGAGUAAACAGUGCGUGAAACCGCUCAGAGGUAAACGGGUGGAGUUGAACUGCGAUCUCAGAGAAUUCAGCUGGUGAGUAUGGUUUGAGCUUGGUCAGAUUGGUUGUGCAUUGAAGUCUGUGUAGUUAGCAGGUCUCUACUUUCGGGUGGAGAUGCGCCAGGCACCUGAAGGGGUGUUGCGCGCUUCAGUGUACUCGGACCUGCUUGCCGGUGCAUUUUCUCUGGGUGUUCACCACGACCGGCAUGCUGUCUGGCUGUUGUGGUUAAACCGGUCUUGCUUUGUCCUUGUGGCUUUGCUUGGUCGGGAUGGCAGGUAACCUGUUAGCUAGUUUCGGCAUUGCUUUCAGGUGUAAUCAGCUGACCAUGAUGGUUCUGUGCAGUGUGUCGGAGACGGCGGCUUGUGGUGUGAGCGCGCGUGCCUUAUCUGCUGACUUGGUGUGGUCUGGUUGCUAUGUUGCUUGCUUUGCAGGCCUAGUGAUGGCUUGACCAUGUUUGGCGGAUGGUUGCGUGUGUGACACUAUAUCAGGGCCA